AUUGAACGCUGGCGGCAGGCCUAACACAUGCAAGUCGAGCGGAUGAAGGGAGCUUGCUCCUGGAUUCAGCGGCGGACGGGUGAGUAAUGCCUAGGAAUCUGCCUGGUAGUGGGGGAUAACGUCCGGAAACGGGCGCUAAUACCGCAUACGUCCUGAGGGAGAAAGUGGGGGAUCUUCGGACCUCACGCUAUCAGAUGAGCCUAGGUCGGAUUAGCUAGUUGGUGGGGUAAAGGCCUACCAAGGCGACGAUCCGUAACUGGUCUGAGAGGAUGAUCAGUCAGACCGGGACUGAGACCAGGCCCAGAUUCCUACAGGAGGCAGAAGUGGGGAAUAUUGGACAAAGGGCGAAAGCCUGAUCAAGAAAUGCCGCGUGAGUGAUGAAGGCCUUAGGGUUGUAAAGCCCUGUUACACGGGAUGAUAAUGACAGUACCGGGAGAAGAAGCUCCGGCUAAAUCCGUG
rnacentral:rRNA from 1 species